UACGUAGGGUGCAAGCGUUAAUCGGAAUUACUGGGCGUAAAGCGUGCGCAGGCGGUUGGCCAAGUCAGCUGUGAAAGCCCCGGGCUUAACCUGGGAAUGGCGGUUGAAACUAGUCGACUAGAAUCUGGCAGAGGGGGGUGGAAUUCCACGUGUAGCAGUGAAAUGCGUAGAUAUUCGGAAGAACACCAGUGGCGAAGGCGGCUCACUGGACCGGCAUUGACGCUGAGGUGCGAAAGCGUGGGGAGCAAACAGG
rnacentral:rRNA from 1 species